UAAUACGGAGGGUGCAAGCGUUAAUCGGAAUUACUGGGCGUAAAGCGCAUGCAGGCGGUUUAUUAAGCCAGAUGUGAAAGCCCCGGGCUUAACCUGGGAAUUGCAUUUGGAACUGGUAAACUAGAGUCUUGUAGAGGGGGGUAGAAUUUCAGGUGUAGCGGUGAAAUGCGUAGAGAUCUGAAGGAAUACCGGUGGCGAAGGCGGCCCCCUGGACAAAGACUGACGCUCAGAUGCGAAAGCGUGGGGAGCAAACAGGAUUAGAUACCCUGGUAGUCCACGCCGUAAACGAUGUCUACUUGAAGGUUGUGAUCUUGAAUCGUGGCCUUCGGAGCUAACGCGUUAAGUAGACCGCCUGGGGAGUACGGUCGCAAGAUUA
rnacentral:rRNA from 1 species